AUGGAUUCCAUCUUGGCGAAUGAAACUUGGGAGAUAACUGAUCGUCCUUAUGGGUGCAAACCUAUAGGAUGCAAAUGGGUAUUCAAGAAGAAGCUUAGGCCUGAUGGUACUACUGAAAAGUACAAGGCUCGGCUCGUGGCUAAGGGUUAUACCCAAAAGGAAGGUGAAGACUUCUUUGAUACUUACUCACCUGUGGCUCGACUGACCACUAUUCGAGUUCUACUUUCACUAGCUGCCUCACAUGGUCUUCUCGUUCAUCAAAUGGAUGUUAAGACUGCUUUCCUAAAUGGAGAGCUGGACGAGGAAAUUUAUAUAGAACAACCAGAUGGGUUUGUAAUAGAUGGUCAGGAAGGAAAAGUGUGCGAGUUGCUGAAGUCUUUGUAUGGACUCAAGCAAGCACCCAAAUAG
rnacentral:rRNA from 1 species